rnacentral:rRNA from 1 species
GGGGAAUCUUGCGCAAUGGGGGCAACCCUGACGCAGCAACGCCGUGUGAAGGAUGAAGGUCUUCGGAUUGUAAACUUCUGUUGAGAGGGAAGAAGUUCUGACGGUACCUCUUUAGAAAGCACCGGCUAACUCCGUGCCAGCAGCCGCGGUAAUACGGAGGGUGCAAGCGUUAUUCGGAAUUACUAGGUGUAAAGGGUGCGUAGGUGGUUUUGUAAGUCUGAUGUGAAAUCCCAUGGCUCAACUGUGGAACUGCAUCGGAAACUAUAAGACUAGAGUAUGAGAAGGGAAAACGGAAGUCCUGGUGUAGCGGUGAAAUGUGUAGAUAUCAGGAGGAACACCGAUGGCGAAAGCGGUUUUCUGGCUCAAUACUGACGCUGAGGCACGAAAGCUAGGGGAUCAAAC